UACGAAGGGGGCUAGCGUUGCUCGGAAUCACUGGGCGUAAAACGCACGUAGGCGGCUUUCUAAGUCAGGGGUGAAAUCCUGGAGCUCAACUCCAGAACUGCCUUUGAUACUGGAGAGCUUGAGUCCGGGAGAGGUGAGUGGAACUCCGAGUGUAGAGGUGAAAUUCGUAGAUAUUCGGAAGAACACCAGUGGCGAAGGCGGCUCACUGGCCCGGUACUGACGCUGAUGUGCGAAAGCGUGGGGAGCAAACAGG
rnacentral:rRNA from 1 species